GCUUAACGCGAAGAACCUUACCUACUCUUGACAUCCAGAGAACUUAGCAGAGAUGCUUUGGUGCCUUCGGGAACUCUGAGACAGGUGCUGCAUGGCUGUCGUCAGCUCGUGUUGUGAAAUGUUGGGUUAAGUCCCGCAACGAGCGCAACCCUUAUCCUUUGUUGCCAGCGGUCCGGCCGGGAACUCAAAGGAGACUGCCAGUGAUAAACUGGAGGAAGGUGGGGAUGACGUCAAGUCAUCAUGGCCCUUACGAGUAGGGCUACACACGUGCUACAAUGGCGCAUACAAAGAGAAGCGACCUCGCGAGAGCAAGCGGACCUCAUAAAGUGCGUCGUAGUCCGGAUUGGAGUCUGCAACUCGACUCCAUGAAGUCGGAAUCGCUAGUAGUCGUAGAUCAGAAUGCUACGGUGAAUACGUUCCCGGGUCUUGUACACACCG
rnacentral:rRNA from 1 species